UACGGAGGGGACUAGCGUUGUUCGGAAUUACUGGGCGUAAAGCGCACGUAGGCGGAUUUGUAAGUCAGGGGUGAAAUCCCGAGGCUCAACCUCGGAACUGCCUUUGAUACUGCAAAUCUCGAGUCCGGAAGAGGUGAGUGGAAUUCCUAGUGUAGCGGUGGAAUGCGCAGAUAUCAGGAGGAGCACCGAUGGCGAAGGCAGUUCUCUGGGCCGUAACUGACGCUGAGGAGCGAAAGCGUGGGGAGCGAACAGG
rnacentral:rRNA from 1 species